rnacentral:rRNA from 1 species
CGCGUAGGCGGUUUCUAAAGUCAGAUGUGAAAGCCCGGGGCUUAACCCCGGAAGUGCAUUUGAAACUUAGGGACUUGAGUAUGGGAGAGGGAAGUGGAAUUCCUGGUGUAGCGGUGAAAUGCGUAGAUAUCAGGAGGAACACCGGUGGCGAAGGCGGCUUCCUGGACCAAUACUGACGCUGAGGCGCGAAGGCGGGGGGAGCAAACA